GGACGGAAGUGCACCUUUGCCCCAGAUUUCUGCAGGUUACUUGAGAAUAAAGGAUGGCAAUAUUCCAGUUUUGUUCAUUCAAAAGUACUUGAUGAAGAAGUUGAAUCUUUCUAGCGAAGAUGAGGUUGAGAUUAGAUAUAUGGGACAGUUGAUAGUUCCCACUCUACAACUGAAUAGUUUAGUUGAUAUGUGGCUUCAGACUACCUCAUCUGAAAGAGUUCCAGCAAUAGUUGGUUCAUCAGCUAACGAUUUCGUGAUGGUGUUGGCUUAUGCUCGCAAGGUUCCAAGCCUUAUGUCUUCUUGAACUGUUCUUUUUUUGCCUUCACAUACUCGAUAAUCUGUACAACCCCGUGCAUAAGUUGAAGUAGCAGCCCAAACCUGGUUAGCUAGUAAGUUUCGUAUUUGGAAAUGUGGUGAGCUAUUAGAUGUGCAGGUUAUUUUACAGCAGCUGGCGCUGCAACUGUUACAAAUCAGAAGCAAAUUAGCAACGAGACCGUAAAGGAGAAGAGCUUAGCAGGAGAAGAGCUUAGCAUUUAUGGCACUCGCGAGAUA
rnacentral:misc_RNA from 1 species